CAAAAAAAAAACAGAAAGCUUAAGCAGAGCAGAAGGCCACAACUCAGAGCAAUGGGUGCUUAAGCGUAAGCGCGUUUAAGCAUUUUUUUAAAUUGGCCAGAAUUUGACUGUUUCUGAGUAACAUGCAAGGAAAAUAGGGAACUUCUCUCUCUUCUACUGAUGCAGUAGCACCAUCAUCAUUACUAGCAUUAUCUCCUUUGUAAAUUGGAGUUGUUAUUUUUUCUUGGAAGUGAAGUUAUUACCUUUGUUUCUUUUAAUGCCAUGUUAAACCUGAUGCACCUUCUAGCCCUUGAUGUCUUUGUUAGUAAGUGUAGUCCAUAUUUUUUGCAAAUGAUGUCUCCAUCGGGUAUGAGUGUUUUCUUUUGCCAUUUGCCAAUUAUACUUGCCCCCUUUUGCUACUCAAAUGCCAAUGAUGAAUUAAAAAAAUAAGAUGCACUGGAUAUGGGUCUAUACAGUACCUAAAGGAUGUAAUAGUUUUCCAUUGGUUCAAAGUGAUGUGAUUAUAUUGUGAUUUUCAGAAUUGCUACUCCAAUUUUGUUUACCAUUCAUAGAACAACACUCUGCCGGUCUUGCUAUUCGCCAUUUUCCUCCCCACUAUAGUGCUGCCACUCAGUGAUGCCUCGGCAAGAAGACCAAUCGCAGGGAGAUGUGCCAUGGCAUGUCCUGAAGAGGCAAUCAGAUAUUUUGGUGGCCUCAAGCCCUCAACCCUCUGGAUCAUCCGUCUGUUGUGCGUGCUCUCAUUUGGGUUGCCGAGGGACACCUCCUCCUGUGGCGCUCCUGUCCAAUUUUUUGUUUAUGUAAAAAAUUCUUACCAUCGCCUCACCUAUUUGGACAAUUAGCUUCAGGUAACUGCUUUAUGUGGAAAUAUGCCAAUGGAUAAUAUCCUCCAGAUUAACAAGUUCAUGUGUGCUGCUCUUAUUAUCUACCUGGUAGUCUCGUCUGACACUUGUAUUAAUGGCUUUUUCCUCUGGAGUACCAAGAAAAAUAGCAGUAUUACUUAGGGUUUGUUUGUUUGGGCUGCCAUUUCCAUGGCUGCAGCUGAAGGAGCGGCUGUAGCUGUUAAUGAAGAGAGGCACUUUGCAUUUGUCCACCAGAAGUAUAGAUCGGUAAAGUACAGAGAAGCUUCAGAGCAUGGUAGCAUUGUUUAUGAGAAGAAUCCACGACGGACUGAUAACCUACUUCUUCUUGGAGUUAUCUACUGUCAGUUUAAGACUUGGUGCUAGCCGGAGCUUCUAUUUUCUACCAAAACUACUAUUAACAAAAGAACUCUAGCGAUCCAGGAUUUUAUCCUAAGCUGCUAUUAAACUCACAAGAGGGAGUUAAUAACAAAAUAACUCUAGCCAUGCUUUUUGAUAUACUACGCAUAUGUAUGAUGUACUAGCAGUUCCUAUUUUUUAACUACUGUGUACCAGAGAAUUGAAUUGGCUAUGUCUGCAUAAAUAUGAUGUAUUAUAUUAUGUCAUGAGAGGGAUUUCUUCAUUUUCAAAACUAAGUUGGAUGAGCUUAAAGCACUUAUU